rnacentral:rRNA from 1 species
CUACGUGCCAGCAGCCGCGGUAAUACGUAGGUGGCGAGCGUUAUCCGGAAUUAUUGGGCGUAAAGGGUGCGUAGGCGGCCUGUUAAGUAAGUGGUUAAAUUGUUGGGCUCAACCCAAUCCAGCCACUUAAACUGGCAGGCUAGAGUAUUGGAGAGGCAAGUGGAAUUCCAUGUGUAGCGGUAAAAUGCGUAGAUAUAUGGAGGAACACCAGUGGCGAAGGCGGCUUGCUAGCCAAAGACUGACGCUCAUGCACGAAAGCGCGGGGAGCAAAUAGGAUUAGAUACCCUAGUAGUCCACGCCGUAAACGAUGAAUACUAAGUAUUGGGGAAACUCAGUGCUGCAGCUAACGCAAUAAGUAUUCCGCCUGUGGAGUAUGCACGCAAGUGUGAAACAUAAAGGAAUUGACGGGGGCCCGCACAAGCGGUGGAGUAUGUGGUUUAAUUCGACGCAACGCGAAGAACCUUACCAGGCCUUGACAUCCCUUGCAAAGCUGUAGAGAUA